GAGACAAGUCUUGAUUAGAGCUGGAACAAUAGCUCCAUUUUAUUAAUAAUGGGAAGGAUUUACAAUCCUACAGCACCUUCCUUGGAAGGCUUUCAAAAUCAUUUGCAAACAUACACAAAUUUAAGCUUUCACAGCCCUGCCUGUGAGGUGGGUAAGUAUAUACCACCAAAAAUCACAUCGAGCUUGGAGUCGGUGGCAAAUCUCCAUUUUUGAGUGCUAGAAAAAUGACAAGAGUUGGUGGGUUUUAAGGCUGUGAAAGGGUGUGCUGGGGGGAUGAGGGGAGAGGUUGGUAAGUGGGGCUGGCUGGAAGCUGUAACCUAAAUCUGUUUAGUGUGUGCUGCAGACAGUGUUUUUCUGUGUCCUGGGAACUGGGCUGUUAUUUCUCAGCCUGCUCCAUGCAAAUAACCCCUUUCGUCUUGCUCUGUGCUAGAGCAAAGACAUGGACUUGCCUGCUUGUCACUAAACAUCUGCUUAUAGAUUUUUAUUUAUUUAUUUAUUCAUUACCUUUUUGUAGUCCCCAAGUGACCUUCUUUAGUGCUGGCUUGGCUGUGGUUUGACCACAGCUUUGCAUUAAAGCUGGCUGCUAGCUUUAAUGUGUCUCUGUGCAAGCUAGAAUGACCUUGCUUGCAGGACAAGGACCCACCUAGCUAAUGCAGAUACUCUGCUUUGAAUAAACCCUGCAGUCUUGGGUGGUUCCCCCCCCUCCUCCCCCCAGCAUGUCCCUUCCCUGACCCAGGUAGUGCAGGGGAAUGUUACAAUAUUAUGGGUGAAAGCUGUCAUCUGCCUCUUUUUUUUCCCCUCCCAGGGAAAUACAAGAUUGUAUGUGUAACUCCCACUCCACAGCAGAUACCUUCUUUGUAAGUAUUGUAAAAGUGCAGUGAUCUCGGAGACAUCUGCGUAGUCGGAUUGGGUCUUGCUGCAGCAUAUAAGGCACAGUGGUCUGGUUGUGUAAGUGUAUGUUGUACAUGGGCCACAGAAACCCGCAAUGUUUCUGUGGUUACUUCUGUCUGGAUAACAUGAGUAGGUCCCAGGGCUUCCCCUUCCCACCAUUUACUAUUUCACAAAAGAACAGGCUGGUGCUUCUGGAAAAAGCUCUGCUUUGUGGCCUUAAAAAGAAAAACUGCUGUGGAUUAGUCAUUCUUAUUUUUAAAAGAAGCUGUGUUUGCCAGUCCCAUCUGUACAGUGCAUGUGAGAUAUUAACUAUUAGCUUUAUUUGUGAAGCUUGGUAAUGUGUUCUGGUCACUGCUCUUUGGAGUCCUGCCACCAAAGCUGCUGGCCUGGGUAUAAUACUGUGCAGGUGGAAGAACUGACAAUCCAGCUUUUCAUACUUUUCUAUGCUUUUUCUUUUUUCGGUGCUGGUAUCUCUGCAUUGCCAGGUGUGGAAACAUAGAGACCGUAACAACAGUAAGCAAGGACAGAUGAACUGCCUUCCAGGGUCAGUUAUAAAUUGAGAGAAGAAAUCCUGAUUUUUUGUUUUUUCUUAUUUUCCCCUUGCCUAUGGUAGCUUUUACUCCAAGCCCAACUGACUGUUUCUUGCAAUAAGGUUGGGUUUGACCCUUUUGGAUGCUAAAAAUGAUAAUGUUUUUAAUCCUUCAGGUUGUAUUCCCUUCUCUGUGGUCAUGUAAUGGAGCUGUACAAUUAAAAUGGUGUAGCAAAGGACAGCUGCCUCCCCCCUUGCCCUUUCAAAAAACCUUCCGGAGUUGUGUGCUCUUGAACUGCUGCAUAGGCAGAAAACAUACAAUGCAGUUGUCAGCAUUGCGCUGGUGUGUGGCAUGUUUAAAAACACACGCGCGCGCGCACACACACACACACACACACACACACACGGUGGGGAGAACGGGUGCCUCCAGGGGCUAAAACUAGGGGGCCUCUUUCACUACAAGCGAUUAGACCCACAUGCAAUAGUAUAUUACUCCUAAUUUUGUGGCGGCAAAUGCAAUGGCCAAACAUCAGAGGGAGCGUGGCAACACGCUAAAUUGUGUUGGUGAAGAUCAGGGUCCCAUUGUACUAUUUUUUCUGUUAACUUGCUCCUACAAGAUGCUGCUGCUUUAUUGCUUGAUUCCUCCAGCCUGUUCUUUCUUGCCAGGAAACAGGAAAAUGUUUCCUUAUUGAGUGCAAUUUCUUUUGUUGUGUUGCAAAAGGUAAUAAAAAGCACCUGCCUCUGGUUUCUCCUAGGUCACACCUGACUGCCUUUAGUGCUGACUCCCAGUAAUCUCUAGCAUGUGGCACUGUCACAGCAGCGCAAGGAGUGUAAGUGGCAGAGCAUUCUCAUCAGCCUCUUUUGAUGAGAAUAUUGGUAUUGGCGCCGCAUGAAUGCUUCUGGCUGACCAGCUGAGGGGCCCUGCCCCGCUGAGCUGGAGCAACAUCUUAUAAGAAACGCAGUGAUUUUAUUGCCAGUGAGGCAGUCUGGUUGCUGCACUGAUUUGUAGUAUAGCUAUGGCUUUAUGCUUUUCUGGCAAAACUUAGCUAAGGGUAAGUAUGAGGUGUCCAGGACAGGUUUUCACUCAGUGCUUUCAGCGGUAGAGAGCUGGGGAAAGUUGAUGUGUGGUGUAUGUGAAGCUUGCCAAUAGCUCGGUGUGCCUAAGGUCUCAUCUAUGCUUGAAUUAAACUAGCGUGGACAGGGAAAUUAAUUUUAGUCUCUUGUUAGGGAUAUAUUUGUUUUGAGAUAAGCCUCGUGCCCCUCAGGGGCCUUUGCCAGCAUAGAGGUACUGUGGACCAGCAAACUGGAUGUUUGGGAUGUUUUCCAGGUUGGCACACCCUGUGAGACUCUGAAUUAUUUUUCCUUGGCAGUUUGGGGCAAAUGAGUGAGAAUUACCUUGUGAUUGCUGAACUUUUACCACCUCGUGCUUUGGACUGAAGAGUUACUAGAACUAAAUCUAUGAGGUUUCCAAGCUAAACAAAACCUGAAUUUCUGGUGCCAAAAAGCAAGCCAGCAAUAGAAACCUCUGAAACCUCUGCUUCUCCUCCAGAAGGGGGGAAACCACAGUCUUUCAAGCUUUCCUGUUAUCCUCAAGAGUUAAAAAGGCAUAAACCUGCGUCAUGAAACCUGCCGAGCUAGCGGUCGGAUGAAACGAGAGCCAAAGCUAGCCGAGAAACUGUUCUCGUGUGCCGUAUUGCUGGAGAGGUUUUUCAGUCAGGAAGACUGAAAUCCUCUCUGGCUGGCUGGUGAAAUGCAGUACUGUUUUUUGGGAAAAACCCACACGAGGUGAGCAGGUACUGCUGUUCAGUACGUACAGAAGUUUGUAGGCAAGGGGAGGCAGGGCAGAAGCUGGCAAUGUUAUUUUCCUCUUCUUUCCAACGACAGGGAAAGAAAUAGGUAUUAAUUCUAAUAUUUCUACUAUACAGUAAGCAAGAGUAAGCUUGUUUGCAGUCCUGUGACUACAUAUGGUAUUUUGCUUGGGUGGCUUAGCAAUCACACUGCACUCUGCUGUUGAAGAAGUAUCUGUUUUUGUAUAGCAAAGUUUUUUGAAAACAGAAGCGGGCUUUUAUAUAUAUACAAAUGGGUUCAGUGUAAACCAGAUUCCAGGGGCUCCUCGACUGUGUUUACUGUGCUGCAGAACGUAAGUGAUGCGAACCCGCUGGCCACAGUGGCUGUAUUCUGUGGUAGCUCCGAUCCUCAGUGCUAUAUGAGAAGAACAACAUCAUCGAGUUUGGCUGGGAAUAGCAUUUGAAGAUAAAUUACAGAAUAUUGGGUAUAGCCAUUUCUAGAACGUGAAGGGAGUCUUCUCAACACGGUUAUCUCAUCUUGAAGAUUUGGAGCGCUUAACCCUCAAAGAGGAAUGAACCAAAAUCAAUAGCUUUAUUAAUACAAAACCUGUACUUUGUGUUGCUUAGGAUCCAGAACCAGGCUUUGUGUUCAAAGUGUUACCAGUAUAUUAGCUGAUAUCCUCUAUCUUGGCAACAUGCGAGCCCCAAUAUCAAACUGCACCAAUUCCUUCUUGGAGAAUAUUAUCCAUUGCAUAAAAUGUAAUGGGUAAGCAAUAAAAUUAGCCCAGUAAUUCAGGCUAGCCUAAAAAUGAGAUAAAAGCCUCGCUGGCAAUUUGAUAUUCAGCUGCCAUACUGUCAUUUUAAUAAAUAUAGUCAGUGAGCAGGAAAGGCACGUAAAUGAAUUUUAUAUUGGCAAGAUGGUGGAUGGCGCUGGGAGGCUCGAACAAAGAAAAGCUCUGAGUGUUUCUGGUGACGUUUGAGAGCUCUUGUCUGGCUAACGUACUGUUUUUCUGUGAAAAGUGGAGAAAGCUGGAUGCUUACUGGACACUUACUGGUGGGGAUAAUUAUUGCAUGCUACUAAUGUGACUGCUCUUCUGUCUAAUCCAUUUGAGUCUCUGGUGCUUGGCCGAUGUUUCUGGCUAUGGGGAAAGGGGUAAUGCCUCCUUUCCCCAUUUCCAGCUGUGCUGCUGUGAGCUCAAAACGCAGAGCAAUUGCUAAGCCAGAACCAAGUAUAAGAAGUUACAGCCUUGGCAAAUACAGCUCUGGUUGCUGUCCUUGUUCGGUAUCUAAUCUUUUAUUUUUUAAAUGUUUGGCAAGCAGUCUCUGCGACACGUGGCAGCGAGCUCCACCACUUGGGUAAGACGCUGCAAAACGUCUACAAACUUGCCUUUUCAAGUGUUGUCUGCUCGCUCUGUAAUGUGCCCUCCUAUUUAUUCAUGUUUCCUCCUGGAUGAGAGGCUGUCUCUGGCUGCUCCCUUUCUUAUUUGUGUGGACCCCAAGGAUGUUUUCCAAUUCUCCUGCCCUUUUUCUCCAAACUGGACAGCUGCUAACUUUAUUAGCUCCUUAUAUGGCAGCACCAUUUUCUCACGCCUUUAAUGGCUCGCUUUUGAUCUUUCAUGUUCUUGCUUUGCUUUUCUUGAUGUGAGCACGGUGUUCAAGCUGAGAUGGGUUUAUCACCUGCUCCCCCAUUUAAUAUGGGGCCUGGCAUUUUAAUCCUUUCCAAGUGAUGAUAAGAUACGUGCAGAUGUUUUAACUGAGAGGUCAGCCGAGAUGCCUGGAGAUAGCUGGGUUCUCAGCUACACCCAGCGUGUGUAUGAGUAAUUUAAAUUGUGCCUUGCAGGGUGCCAGACUGUGCCCUUGUUUGUCCUGAAGGCCAAGGGGCAGCGGGUGGUGGAGAGCCAGUGAAGUCUUCUGUUCUUCGGCUGUUUGCCCCUCUGGGGAGAGCAGCAAGUGAGAACUUGUGUCUCAACCCUUGAAGCUUGCCGCUGGGCUUGUGUUGCCACUGAUGCCAGGACAGUGGCUAACGGUCAACAGCUUUGUUUGCAACAGCUUCCAAUCUGUGGAUGUCCCUCCUGACCAGCCAGCUUGCAAGAUUACUAUGUGACAGCAAUGACCCUGUGUGAAGUUUCUUUGAAGGACCUGGGAGUCUGUGUGGUUUUCUCAUGUCCCUUGGAGGUGCUUCCCUGGGAGGGAGGGAGGGAGGGGAAGAGUAGUUAGAAAUGCUGUCACAGCAAGCACGCUCAACUGAAGAGGGGAAAAUUCUGCAUUGCCUUCAGAAAAGCCAUUUGAUACAUGGUUUGGGUGAAGGGGGGGGGCUUCCUUCCUCUCUCUGAAAUGGAUGCCUGUAGAGUCCUUUAAAGGUAUAGACGAAUAGUUAUUGCUCUUUGGGCUUUUGACCAGUUAAAACAGAAAACUAAGCCCAUUUCCAUGGAAAAGAAGCAUAUGUGGUGGAAAGUGUUGGAGGAGCUCAUUGGCAGUGCGUUUUCUUGUAUGCACGUGGCUUAAUCACAUACUUUAAAUAAUAGAUGGUUUGCUUGCAAGGGUUUGUUUUGUUUGUUUUAAUCAGUAGAUCUCAAAUAAUUUGGCAGUGCAGCUUAAUGCCAGUCAUCACUGGGGAAACUGAGGCAUGGGGCCAUAAAGGGAUCAGCUUGCAGCUACCCAUAGCAGGGGUAGAGUUGGGGAUAAGACUUGAGUCUGCCAAGGCUGGAGCUGAUGUGCGUCAGAGAUCUGAUUAAAUCAAGAUUUGCAUGUGUUAAGUGAUCUAUAGCUUGAUGACUUUGACUAGUUGCUGAGAUGGACUAAUUGCCAAAAGGUUUAAACUGUCCUGGGCAGGGUCCUGUUAGACUGGGUGGCGUGAGCAUGUUGCAAGGUGCCCACCAGCUAUUAAUGAGCCUGGGUUGAAGGCAAAGGCGGUGUAGUUGAGCUCUGCUUGUCCCAAUGAGAACAUGGUUUUAAUCAAUAGAAAAGCGCCGUCAGCAAGCAGGAGGCUUUGGCCAAGGGAAAUACUGAAAUAUUAGUCUUCUCUUUGUGGUGAAAGCAGCUAACUGGCUUAUGCGGCUUCAAAAAUGUACUAGUGGCUCUGGAUGCAUGUUCUGUUUUAUCCUAACCUCAAACUGUUUGCUUACUGCUGUUCCAAAUGUCACAGUGGCAAUAAGUUGGGCAUUUUCUUUUUCAGACAUAUAAACGUGUAUUUUUAUCUGUGUAGAGUCACAUUUUUUUUCUUUACGUGGAAAAAUGGAAACUUCAGAAGGUGGCUGGAUUUCACUGCCAUUAAAUCUUGCCCGGGGUUAGAAAGUGGCCUU